CGAACGGGUGAGUAAUGCGUGACCAACCUGCCCCAUGCUCCAGAAUAGCUCUUGGAAACGGGUGGUAAUGCUGGAUGCUCCAACUUGACGCAUGUCUUGUUGGGAAAGUGUUUAGUGGCAUGGGAUGGGGUCGCGUCCUAUCAGCUUGUAGGCGGGGUAAUGGCCCACCUAGGCUUCGACGGGUAGCCGGCCUGAGAGGGCGGACGGCCACAUUGGGACUGAGAUACGGCCCAGACUCCUACGGAGGCAGCAGCC
rnacentral:rRNA from 1 species